rnacentral:rRNA from 1 species
AGCGCAGGCGGUUUCUUAAGUCUGAUGUGAAAGCCUUCGGCUCAACCGAAGAAGUGCAUCGGAAACUGGGAAACUUGAGUGCAGAAGAGGACAGUGGAACUCCAUGUGUAGCGGUGAAAUGCGUAGAUAUAUGGAAGAACACCAGUGGCGAAGGCGGCUGUCUGGUCUGUAACUGACGCUGAGGCUCGAAAGCAUGGGUAGCGAACA